AUUGAACGCUGGCGGCAUGCCUUACACAUGCAAGUCGAACGGUAACAGGUCUUCGGAUGCUGACGAGUGGCGAACGGGUGAGUAAUACAUCGGAACGUGCCUAGUAGUGGGGGAGAACUACUCGAAAGAGUGGCUAAUACCGCAUGAGAUCUACGGAUGAAAGCAGGGGAUCGCAAGACCUUGUGCUACUAGAGCGGCCGAUGGCAGAUUAGGUAGUUGGUGGGAUAAAAGCUUACCAAGCCGACGAUCUGUAGCUGGUCGAAGAGGACGAUCAGCCACACUGGGACUGAGACACUGCCCAGACUCCUACGAGAGGCAGGAGUGGGGAAUUUUGGACAAUGGGCGCAAGCCUGAUCCAGCAAUGCCGCGUGCAGGAUGAAGGCCUUCGGGUUGUAAACUGCUUUUGUACGGAACGAAAAGCCCUGGGUUAAUACCCUGGGGUCAUGACGGUACCGUAAGAAUAAGCACCGGCUAACUACGUGCCAGCCGCCGCCGUAAAAC
rnacentral:rRNA from 1 species